rnacentral:rRNA from 1 species
AGCUAACGCUGGCGGCGUGCCUAACACAUGCAAGUCGUACGAGAAAGUUGGCUUCGGCCGAUGAGUAAAGUGGCGCACGGGUGAGUAAUGCGUGGAUAAUCUGCCCUUUAGUUGGGAAUAACGUACCGAAAGGUGCGCUAAUACCUGAUAAUACUGCAUAACUACUGUUGUGUAGUCAAAGAAGGCCUCUGUUUACAAGCUUUUGCUGAAGGAUGAGUCCGCGUACCAUUAGCUGGUUGGUGGGGUAAUGGCCUACCAAGGCUACGAUGGUUAGCUGGUCUGAGAGGAUGAUCAGCCACACUGGAACUGAGACACGGUCCAGACUCCUACGGGAGGCAGCAGUGAGGAAUAUUGCGCAAUGGGGGCAACCCUGACGCAGCAACGCCGCGUGAGUGAGGAAGGUUUUCGGACCGUAAAGCUCUGUCGAGCGGGAAGAAAUGUAUCAUGGCUAAUAUCCAUGAUACUUGACGGUACCGCUAAAGG